GGGGGUGUAGCUCAGUGGUAGAGCGUCGUUCGCUUCGCAUGCGAAAUGUCCGGGGUUCAAAUCCCCGCACCUCCA